UUAAAUCACUUUAAUGAUAAAUUUGAAUUCUAUUUUUUUAAACAAUUUUUACGUUCAUUUUAGCUCUUUUAAAAUUUAAAAUUUGGUAUCCCGAAAGAGAUUUCUAACUUCAUCCUAGUCUGGAUCCGAAAAUUUACUAAGAAGUCUAAUAUCACUUUUUUAGAUUUAAUCAUGAAUUUAGUUUCAAUACAAACAAUUGCAUGAACUUUUCAAUUUUCGUAAAAUACAAAAAUGAAAUCCUAACAAUCUAAAAUAAAAAUACAAACUCCUCGAUUUUAUGGAUAGAUUUCAUAAUUAAAAAAAAAAAAUUACUCAUAACCUAAUCCAACUUAAUCUAAAAGAUACCAUGGAUGAUUAUAAAUAACCUAAACUAAUAAGAUUAAAUGUGAAAUGGCAGGGCAUAAAUAUUUUGCAUAACUGCCCUCAACCUUCACUGAUUAAAGUGGGUGAUAAUGGCACAAACUUUAGAUUUUGCCUGCGAAAAUCCCAAGAAGAAAAAGGGCAAUAAAGAUUAAAGAAGGGAGGAAGAAGAUGCUGAGAAUUCUCUUUUGC
rnacentral:lncRNA from 1 species